rnacentral:rRNA from 1 species
UACGUAGGGGGCGAGCGUUGUCCGGAUUUAUUGGGCGUAAAGAGCGUGUAGGCGGUUCGGUAAGUCUGCCGUGAAAACCUGAGGCUCAACCUCGGGCGUGCGGUGGAUACUGCCGGGCUAGAGGACGGUAGAGGCGAGUGGAAUUCCCGGUGUAGCGGUGAAAUGCGCAGAUAUCGGGAGGAAUACCGGUGGCGAAGGCGGCAUCCUGGACCGGCAUUGACGCUGAUGAGCGAAAGCUAGGGGAGCAAACGGG